AAAAAAAAGAAAAGAAGCAAAAGAGAGAGGAAGGAGGGUACAACGAAAGAAUGUCCGCCCCUUCAGUCAUCUGCCGUCCGUCCGUCCUCUUGUUAGUCUCUUACUUGCUCUUUCCCUCUCUUUCUAAUCUCCCUCUCCACACCUGGUCUCUCUAUGUGCCCCGACCUGAAAACAACUUUAAAAGAAGCUGCGCCGAAAGAAAUAAAACGAAAAAUUGAAUCUUC
rnacentral:ribozyme from 11 species